AUUAACGCUGGCGGCAUGCCUAAUGCAUGCAAGUAGAACGAGUCUCGCAAGAGAUUAGUUGCGAACGGCUGAGUAAUGGAUAGGAAUCUCCCCAAUGGUGUGGAAUACCUCAUCGAAAGAUGAGCUAAUACCGCAUGACCUCGAAAGAGAAAAGCGCUUAACUGCGCGCCGAUGGAUGAGCCUAUCUCCCAUCAGCUUGUUGGUAGGGUAAAAGCCUACCAAGGCUAUGACGGGUAGGGGGCGUGAGAGCGCGUUCCCCCAGAAUGGGACUGAGACACGGCCCAUACACCUACGGGUGGCAGCAACAGGGAAUCGUACACAAUGGACGAAAGUCUGAUGUCGCAAUGCCGCGUGGAGGAAGAAGGCCUUCGGGUCGUAAACUCCUUUUACAGUAAUAGAGAUGUUAUUGAGAAUAAGCACCUGCUAACUCUGU
rnacentral:rRNA from 1 species